GAAUUGCGAUAUGUAAUGUGAAUUGCAGAAUUCAGUGAAUCAUCGAAUCUUUGAACGCACCUUGCACCCUUUGGUAUUCCGAAGGGUAUGCCUGUUUGAGUGUCAUUAAAUUCUCAACUUCAAAAGGAUUCUUGUCUUUUUUGAAGCUUGGACUAUGGAAGUUUGCUGGAGUCACUAUCAGCUCUUCUUAAAUGCAUUAGCGGAACUUUGAAGGACCAGCUUUGGUUUGAUAAUCCUAUCUAUGCCGCUGCUGUGGACUUGUGUGUUCAGCUUCUAAUGGUCUUCGGACUGUCUCCAUUGUGAGACAUACACUUUUUAAGCUUGACCUCAAAUCAGGUAGGACUACCCGCUGAACUUAA
rnacentral:misc_RNA from 1 species